CAACAAAUAACUGAGCUCAGUAUUGCAACUUUACUUUGGUUAUCUAGCUGUAUGAGUAAGUUACUGGCUUCAUAAAGCUAGGUUACCAAAGCUAAGCACAAUACAUCUAUCCU
rnacentral:pre_miRNA from 13 species